rnacentral:tRNA from 1 species
UAUGGCAGAUUAGUGCAAAGGAUUUAAAAUCCUAAAAUAAAGAUUUUCUCUUUUAUUAAAA